UUAAACAUGCUGAUGAACUGAGCUGGGUUUUUCCCCACCUCCAUUCCAGAAAAAUAAGGACACUCAGAAGAUAAAAUUUGUUUUGUUAUUGCAAGUAAUGCUAUGUGUGAACAUUUCUGUUUGACAUCAUGUAAUUCCUCAUCGCCAGUGCUUGAAAUAAGCAAGCAUUAAGGAUUGAUAUAUUAUGUGGCUCGCUGCUGCUCCUCACAGCCCAAGGGAAUGGGACACUCUGAGAGCUGAAUGGAUUUAGAAAAUUACUAAAAAUGACUAAGCCUCUCUCCCAGAUUUGUACAAACAGUCCCUUUUUAACACUGAACUCCUUAACCAAAUCUGCCAAUUCACAUUUCUUCCUGUAUUUAUUUUUCAUUAAAAUUGGUUUGGCUUUUGC